ensembl:lncRNA
CGCGCUGUUCAGACUUUUCCAUCGUUGUUUGUAUUUGUCGCUGUGCUGUGUUACCAGCGAUGGUUGAGUGUGCCUGCUGUGACUCACUGAAGGCUCACACGAUGGCUGGCCUUUGUAGCAGUAAGCUGGUUUGUCUGUCUGCCUCUGCAGGCAGUGAAGGGGCGCACCUGCUUGGGUGGUGGGCUGCCCUGCCAGCAGUGGAUGGGCCUUACUUGAUCUUUUUCCUGGGCCCCUGUUGUUGGUGUGGCCACAGUAAUUCUUACGCCAUCUGACAGGACGCGGUGCCGGGAAGCAGCACCCCUGGGGCAGGUCAUGUCGUCCCAGUUGUGUUUCUGGGGGAGCUGCCCCGCAGACAGAAGAACCGAGUGCAGGGGGCACGACCAUCCUCCAGCUCUUUGCCCACAAAAAGCAGAUGCAGCUGGGCAGGUGGGACGCCCUCAGGGUCUUCAGUUCAUAGUCUGAAGAGUAGCGUAAACGGGGGUAGGGUAGAGUGAGUGCUUAGCAUGCAUGAGGUCCUGGAUUCAAUCCCUGAUAACUCCAAGUAAAUAAGUGAAUAAAUAACUCCCCAAACUAAAACAAUUUUUUAAAGUAGUAUCAGCAUAAGUUGUCUGUGCCCUGUGGUCCAGUGAUAACUGCUUUGCUGUGGGGUCUGGCAAUGAGCCCACGAUACUGCCAGGGUUUACCUGUGUUUCACUUCGUAGGCCAGUAUUGCCAGGGACUGAGUAUUUAAAUAAUAUGUAGGUGCGCUAAUCAUCAAAUAAUUCAAGGAAAGGGAUUACUGAACAUGACGUAUUCAUUGAGGCAAGAGCGGUUCACUGCUACGAUGCCCUUCGGCCAGGAGCAAGUGUAAAGUGAUACCAACUAGGGAAGUAGCUGCACAAGGCUGUGGGCACUGAGGUUUAAAAGGAAAACAUGAGCCAGAGGUUUUAGGGUAGAGGUAACUUGUUAUUGAUUAGAAAUCGGUGGGGAGGCUCCAGCUCCGUGUUAGAGCGCGUGCUUAUUAGCACGCAGGAGGUCCUGGGUUCAGUUCCCAGUACCUCUAUAAAUGAAUGAAUCAAUCAAUCAAUCUUAAUUUCUCCCACCAAGAAAAAAAAAUCACGUCCUUAAAGUAUUAUUUGAGGACUAUUGAGAGAAAGUAUUAGAUAUAAUGUAAUAAUUUUUUAUAAUGCAAUAAUUUUUGAAAAAGAAUAUGUAAAAUUGCAUCAAAAUCUUUGGGAACGUGUACGUAAGUUGAAACUGUAGGUGUGUUGUGAGUCUAGGGUAACACUGCAUGAAAAAAGUGUAUUGAUACAAUUUGAGUACCAUUACACCAUUUUAAGUAUGGAAUCCAGUGACUUUUUUUUUAGUGGAUUUACGAAGUUGUGAAGCCAUUCACACAGUCUGGUUUUAGGAUAUUUCUAAUGAGCCCCCACCAAAAAUAUUUUCAUUCAAAACAGAAAAAACUCCACGUGAUCUACUUGAAAGGUGGAAACUGGUGAAGUUAGUUCUUUCCUGGUCUCAACCCCGCCCUGGUAUGAAGCCCACUUUGAUGGCAUUAACUUCAAAACAGCUCCUUUAAAUUCGGAAGGGAAGCUGCUCACACCAUAGUCAACAGACCAUCAGUAUUUCUGUCUAGAUACCAUUACUCUCCGUUAAGUACAUCAGAUGUCCAGCAUUAAAGAGAGACCUUUCCUUCCCAUUUUCACCAAGAAUUUCGACUACUUCCCUGUUAAUUUUAGAAUCAUCUUGCUUGUAUUUACAAAAUCUUGAUUGGAAACGUAUCAAACGUGUCAGUCAGUUUGGGGUGACCUGCCAUUGUUUGUGUUGUGUCUGCCAGUCAGUGAACAUGGUGUUUUCCAGAGAUGACCUAAAUGAAAGGCCAUCUUUGAUUUCUUUCGUUAUUUUGUAGUUUUCACCAAAAAAGUCCAUGUUUUGUUAAGCUUACUCAUUUGUCUACUUUUAAUUUUUUUGAGCA